rnacentral:lncRNA from 1 species
GCCGUUAUAGGAUUUGGUCGACGAAAGAUAAUAAAAAAUGAUCCUUUAUAGUAACAGUGUUUAGUUUCCUAUAAUCAAUGCAUACUCGCCAGCUAGAUGGUGUGCGAGUGGGGAAUAAUUUACCUUCUUCAUUCUCCACCACAAUAAUGCCUGAUUUCUUAGGUACUACUUGGAUAGGGCUGACCCAUUUUCUAUUAGAUAUGAGAUAAAUAAUUCCAGUAUCUAACCAUUUUAUCAUCUCUUUCUUCACUAUUUUCCGCAUGUUUGGAUUCAGUCUCCUCUGUAUGUCUCGAUGA